ensembl:lncRNA
GGAGGAGGGGAGGGGCAGGGUUGAAGGUGGGAUUGGUUGUGAUGGAUGAAGGAGCAUUGAGGGAGUGUUGGGAUGAAGGUGGGAUCGGUUGGGAUGGAUGGAGGGUUGAGGGAGGUUUGGGAUGGAAGAUGGAUUGGUUGGGAUGGAUGAGGGAGGUUUGGGUUGAAGGAAGGAUUGGUUGGGAUGGGGUUAAAAGAGGAAAGAGGGUUUAAGGAGAGAUGGAGAGAACCAUGCCAUCUAGCUUGUUAAGCGCAUUCAUUUAUUUAGUCACAGAUGCCCUAUGUAUCCAAGUGCUCAAUGCCACGGUUCGUCAUAUAUAACACAAUAGUCUCGCAACACAAUAGUCUCCCAGUAAAAAUAAACAUCGCCAUUUAUCCAUGAUGAGAUUUUGCUAUUUCAAUGAUCAGUGCUUGUCAGUUGGUGCCGGAUGACUCUCACCACCAGAUGAGUAAUGAUGAUGCCAUGCUCGUCACUUUACUUCAUCAUCUAGGCAGAGCCAUGGUCAGUCACUUAUUACCCAGGUAGGCAUUCCUUCUUCAGCCCUUUCAACACUCUCAUUCCACGUCCAUCUAAGGAAAGUGAUCCAGUGCUACUGUGCCAAAGAGCAGUCAGACCCUUUUUAGCAAGAGCGUGUCUGAUUCUUCAAUGGUUUAUUCAAUGGUCCCAUCCAAUAUGGAACAUCCUUCUAGUUGGUGCUUCUAGGCAAUUACAAAAAUUCCUUAUGUCUCUCUCUCACACACACCCAGACACACAGUCUUUUGUUCUCAUACCAGAGAAGAAUUCCAUCUCUGCCACCCUAAAUGGCUUGCUGGAAGUGUCAACAAGCAGUCUGGCUUGUUGCUUCCUGCCAUCUGCACGGUGAGCUUCUGGUCCGAAGGAGUUGGAUAUAAAAGGCCUUGUUUACGGUAUCAGUUCGUGUGACUCAUGGGUACCUCACAGGUGGGCCUCACCCUAAACACUGCCGUCCAGGAAGGGGCCAUAGAUAGACAUGUUUAGAACCUCAGUUCCCAGAGAGACGCAAGAGAACGAUUGGCGGGUUGCUCCAUUGAAUUGAAUCUGUGGGUUCCAUAACUGUUUUCUUCUUGAAGGUCCUUUUAGGCAGCAUCUUUCCUCAGUGUCUCACCUGACAGGCGAAAACACACGCCAACAAAAUGCUUUCAUUAUUUUCCUCCCUCCAUCUCGCCAUAUUGUAAAUAGGAUGUAUUGUCAUGCCAAAAUGUCACACCUGUUUGCUUAAAACUAUGCAACAGAGUUCUCAGAUUAGGCUAUGUUUUCCUCGACCCUCCUCUCAACCCACAUUCUCUCUUUCUUUCACUCUUUCUUUUCUUGCUGUCUAUGUGCCCUUGUCUGUGUGUCAAUGGAUGCAGUUGUUCCCCAUAUUUCAGUUCUUUCCACUAACAGAAAACACACGUGUAUCAUGUAUGUAUGUGUGCAAGAAGUGUGCACUCUGAAUUUCCUUUUACUCUUGUAAUAUAUGAUCAUGUGGAAUGCCUUGGUCUUUAUGUCCUGUCGUUUGAAUUUAACAGAACAAAAAAUGAUAAUCAAGCAAUUGAGGUGAAAGUUAUUAUAAAUAUAUAUAUAUAAAUAUAUACAAAUCUAUAUACAUAAAAUAAAGCC